rnacentral:rRNA from 1 species
AAAAGAACAUGAAACCAUAAACUUACAAGCAGUAGGAGGACGACUAAAACGUCUGACUGCGUGCCUGUUGAAGAAUGAGCCGGCGACUUAUAGUUAGUGGCAGGUUAAAGUAGUGAAUACUGAAGCCACAGUGAAAGCGAGCCUGAAUAGGGCGUUUGUCACUAGUUAUAGACCCGAACCCGGAUGAUCUAACCAUGGUCAGGUUGAAGCUUAGGUAAUACUAAGUGGAGGACCGAACCGACUGAUGUUGAAAAAUCAGCGGAUGAAUUGUGGUUAGGGGUGAAAUGCCAAUCGAAUCCGGAGCUAGCUGGUUCUCCCCGAAAUGCGUUUAGGCGCAGCGGUAAAUGUUAUAAUUUAGGGGUAAAGCACUGUUACGUAUGCGGGCUGGUAAUUCGGUACCAAAUCGUUGCAAACUAAGAAUACUAAAUGUACAAUUUACCAGUAAGACUGUGGGGGAUAAGCUCCAUUGUCAAGAGGGAAACAGCCCAGAGCACCAGUUAAGGCCCUUAAAUAAUUACUAAGUGGUAAAGGAGGUGGGGGUGCAUAAACAAUCAGGAGGUUUGCUUAGAAGCAGCAAUCCUUUAAAGAGUGCGUAAUAGCUCACUGAUCGAGUAAACCUGCGCCGAAAAUGUAUGGGACUAAGUAAUUUGCCGAAACUGUGCGAUAUAUGUUUAUAUAUCGGUAGGGGAGCGUUCUGUUGUAGAUCGAAGUAUUAGCGUAAGCGGGUAUGGACGAAGCAGAAGUGAGAAUGUCGGCUUGAGUAACGAAAAUAUAGGUGAGAAUCCUAUACCCCGAAAACCUAAGGUUUCCUCCGGAAGGCUCGUCCGCGGAGGGUGAGUCAGGACCUAAGGCGAGGCUGAAAAGCGUAGUCGAUGGACAACGGGUUAAUAUUCCCGUACCGUUUUUUAUUGAUAUCGAGGGACGGAGAAGGCUAAGCUAGCCGGAUAUUGGUUUUACCGGUUUAAACGUUCGAGAUGUUGAGAAGCGGAGAAAACGCUUUGAGUUAAGACGUGAGUACGAGACGCUAAGGCGUCGAAGUAGCGUAUGUCAUACUUCCAAGAAAAGCUUGCACUGUCAUAAAUAAAAAAUGCCUGUACCAUAACCGACACAGGUGGGUAAGUAGAGUAUACUAAGGGGCGCGAGAUAACUCUCUCUAAGGAACUCGGCAAAAUAACUCCGUAACUUCGGGAGAAGGAGUGCCUUAUUCUUAAGGUUGCAAUAACAAGAUCCAAGCAACUGUUUACCAAAAACACAGGUCUCCGCUAAGUCGUAAGACGAUGUAUGGGGGCUGACGCCUGCCCAGUGCCGGAAGGUUAAGGAAGCUGGUCAACGUAAGUGAAGCUAGCGACUGAAGCCCCGGUGAACGGCGGCCGUAACUAUAACGGUCCUAAGGUAGCGAAAUUCCUUGUCGGGUAAGUUCCGAC